GGCAAAGUGGAACCGGGGCAGCGCGAAGGCCUCGCGGCUCCGCGAUCUCGCCGGGGGCAGCGGGAGGACGAGCAGGCGGCACGGCGCGGGGGCCGACGGAGGCGCGGGGCGGCCGCGCCGGAAGUGCCCCAACCGCGGGAGGAAGCUCAGCGGUCGCCGAGCUGCCGAGCCGGCGGGAAGGCCCUGCGCUCUUCCGCCGGACACGGGCUACCGGGAGCAGGCGGCAGCGGCCCCGAGGCUGCGGGACACUGCGCGGCCAGUCCCCGGGGCUGGGGAGGAGGCCGCGCCGAAGCUAGACGGCGAGAUCGGGAGGCCCGAGGCCCGGGCCGCGGCAGAGCCCCACAUGGCCUCCGGAGGGGGUGCGGCCUUCGAGGAGCUGCCGCACGACGGCACGUGUGAUGAGUGCGAGCCCGACGAGGCUCCGGGGGCCGAGGAAGUGUGUAGAGAAUGCGGCUUCUGCUACUGCCGCCACCACGCGGAGGCGCACGGGCAGAAGUUCCCCAGACACCACCUGGCCGAGUACGUUCACUGCGCCGCCCAGGCCUGGACCCCGGGAGCCCGCGGGGAUGGGGCCGGGGAGGAGGCAGUCGAGGCCCCGGUGGAAAAUGAGAAGGCCCUAGAAAGCGAGGCGGGGGAAGGGAGCGAGUCCGAGGAAGACAGUGAGCCCGAAGAAGCGAGCGAGACAGAGGAAGAGAGCGAGGACGAGAGCGAGGAAGACAGUGAGGAAGAAAUGGAGGACGAGCAAGAGAGCGAAGCCGAGGAGGACAACCAGGAAGAAGGAGAAUCCGAGGCCGAGGGAGAAACAGAGGCGGAAAGCGAAUUUGACCCCGAAAUAGAAAUGGAAGCAGAGAGAGUGGCCAAGAGGAAGUGUCCGGACCAUGGGCUCGAUUUGAGUACCUAUUGCCAGGAAGACAAGCAGCUCAUCUGUGUGCUCUGCCCAGUCAUUGGGGCUCACCAUGGCCACCAUCUCUCCACCCUCGAUGAAGCCUUCGAGGAACUAAGAAGCAAAGACUCAGGCGGACUGAAGGCGGCUAUGAUAGAGUUGGUGGAAAGGUUAAAGUUUAAGAGCUCAGACCCUAAAGUAACCCGGGACCAGAUGAAGGUGUUUAUACAGCAAGAAUUUAAGAAAGUUCAAAAAGUGAUUGCGGAUGAGGAGCAGAAGGCCCUUCAUUUAGUGGACAUCCAGGAAGCAAUGGCCACAGCUCAUGUGACUGAGAUACUGGCUGACAUCCAGUCCCAUAUGGAUAGAUUGAUGACUCAGAUGGCCCAAGCCAAGGAACAACUUGAUACCUCUAAUGAAUCAGCUGAGCCAAAGGCAGAGGGCGACGAGGAAGGACCUGGACCCCGAGGGGCUGCUGCACAAACCCAGGGUUCCUGAGGACUCAGUUUGAAAAUCACUCAUCUAAUGCAAGCCUCUCAUCGAAAGAAGCUAAAUGAGUUGCCCAAGUGGCACCGAUGAAGAAGAGGACACAUGAAGGCCCGCCCUCCCCGGUGGACACCCCCCUCCCCUUGUGUGUGUGUGACAGCGUGUGUGCAACGGCUUCUGACCCCUGUGAAGGCUGCCCGUGCAAGCAACGUGCUCCCGCCAGAUGCGUCCCCCAGACCCACAGCAGGCACAGAGCUCUCCGAGGAACGGCCAGUUUUACUGUUACUGACCGUGCUGCUCAUUCUCUCGUCGUGGUAGGAAAAGGACAAGUGCCCCUUUGCUCAACCAGGAGCAAUUCCAGGGUCCUUCAGGUCAUUCCCUCAACAGCUGCUUUGAACUUCCUCAGGAAAGCCAGCCCCUGUAAUGGUGUAUGCCCAAACAGUAUCACUUCAUUAAGAAGGAUCUGAAAUCAUCUUGAAGGGCAGUCAGGAUGUUUCCCUCCCUGCUUAUAACCCCCCACUUUAUUCAUAUCGAAGCAUGGAAUAAAUGAGGGGGAAAGUAGGGCUGAAUCAACCCAUGUGAUUAGUCUCUACAAGUCCAAUUAUACAUCUGUGAAAAUGUGGUUUCAUGAAAUAAGAUGGAUGGCUUGAAAAUCGACAGAGUUAAAAGUUAAAAAUAUAUAAAGAUAUUUUUAGUACGUGAGGUUAUCCUGGACUUCAGAUUCAUAAUUCAAUCCUGUGGCAAUGAAAAAAAAAAAAGAUUAAAGAGAUAGAAAAGAAAUGACUUAAAAAAGAGGGGGGACCAAAAAGAUCUGAUUAAAAGUUGAAAUCGAAGUUAAUAUUUCUGAACUUAAAUUGCCUAGGUUUCCAAAACAGUCACUCAAGGAUCUGAUGGAACCUGAAUUAUCUGAGUGGAUUCUGAGGUUUCAUGGGUCUCGUCACAUCAUGGAAGUCUGGAGUGUGUGCCACAAAUGGGAAUUUGCACUGUAGGUUUUGCUCCCCUUCCCCUAGCUUAGCCUGAUUUGGCUUCAGUGCAGUGUGGGGAGGAUACUUGGCCCUCUGUGGUGUGUGAAUUGAGUUCCAGCCCCUGGCAGACAGACCUUCCUUUCACUCUAGGGAAGGACCCCUCCGACCCCGGCACUCACCACCUCCAGGUCAUCUCCCACCCCCUGCCUCUCCCCUCUUACAUGCCGUGAGUAGACUCACCGUGGUUGGACUCUGGCCUCUCCCCACUCCCAAAUCACAUUUCGUUACAGCCAAGCUUUUUACUCCCAAGUAAGCAGUGAUGUCCUAGGGAACACAAAGCUGUAAGCUGAAAAGCAUGCAUCUUCUGCAGCAGCAGUUUUGACUUAACACAUGUUUUGGAGUCAGGGAAAGAUGUUAUUUGCGGAUAAAAUAAACACAGUUACAUUAUGAAAUAGAAUGUUCAUAUAUAUAAACUGUAAAGAUAAAACGGGAGACUUCACAGAGGACUUUUGUUUGCAAGCGGGCUGUGUGUUCUCCCUCCUCUGCCGUUAGUGGUAUGUGGGUGUUCACUUCUGAGAAGUACAAUUGGACCUGCAAACAUCCAAGAGCCUUGGGGUUUCUGCUGACUCAGGACCCAGACUUCUAGUGCUUCUGAGGCAGAACCAAAGGAACCUGCAUUGGGGGGAUCUUCCUCUUUUCCUGCCUGCCUGCCUGUGACCUGUAUACCUGUCAACAGAGCUUUAGGGCCCACUGAUGUGUGUGUGCAGGAUGGUUUUGAGGUGGAAACAAUGCUUACUGCCGGAAUCCUGUUUAUAUCACUGUUCAAUCCUGUGCAUGCUGUGAAAUUACUAUUUCUUUGACGCCAGAAGCUACCAGGCAUAUACGCUUCUCAGUUAAGAGUACCCCAGCUCACUAAAUCAUGAGGGACACUGAGGGCUGAGAGCAGUUUGGGCUGUUUUUUUUAAAAAAAAAAACAAACAAACUAUUUUUUCUCUUAAACUGGUGGCCAACAAAUGGCUGAGACAUUUUCGGUGCUUUACCUUUCUACACAAAAAUCUGGAGAUUUUGGCAUACCACUAAUUACAUCCCCCAACCACAUCCAAUGCAACUACCUUUAAAGGAAGACCAGUGGCCAUUCUCAAAGAGAGUUUAAAAAAUCAGAAGAUUAAGAAGACUCUAGGAUGUGGAAGCUUGUGUUGUCUUUCCCCAGUAAUCAUUGUUUAAUCUCCAAGUGGUAGCCUUAUCUUAGCAAUGGACAGCUUAUUGGCUCCUCCAUAACUGAUCAUAGGUUAUUACUUUAAAUCAGUAUUUGGGAAACCCAGGCAUUUAUGCAAGGGAUAUGAAUGGAAAUAUAAAAAUACAUGCCAGCCUGUCUCAAUAAAUUAUCAUAUCUCUAUAA